UGGAUAUUAAUGAAUCUGCACAGACCCGUGUGUGGAUGGAUGGGUGAUAAAUGAAUAGGUGGACGGAUGAGUGAAUGGGUAGAUGGGUAGAUGGAUGGAAAUGAACAGAUGGAAAUGGUUGGAUGGGUGGAUAAAUGGUUGGAAGGAUGGAUGGAUGGGUGAGUGGGUAGAUGGAUGAUAAAUGGAUAGGAAGGUGGAUGGAUGAGUGAAUGGGUGGAUGGGUAGAUGGAUGGAAAAACAGAUGGAAAUGUUUGGAUGGGUGGAUAAAUGGUUGGAAGGAUGGAUGGAUGGAU
rnacentral:lncRNA from 1 species